rnacentral:rRNA from 1 species
UACGGAGGAUCCAAGCGUUAUCCGGAUUUAUUGGGUUUAAAGGGUGCGUAGGCGGCUUAUUAAGUCAGGGGUGAAAGACGGUGGCUCAACCAUCGCAGUGCCCUUGAUACUGAUGAGCUUGAAUACACUUGAGGUAGGCGGAAUGUGACAAGUAGCGGUGAAAUGCAUAGAUAUGUCACAGAACACCGAUUGCGAAGGCAGCUCACUAAACUGUAACUGACGCUGAGGCACGAAAGCGUGGGGAGCAAACAGG